rnacentral:rRNA from 1 species
UGGGGAAUAUUGGACAAUGGGCGCAAGCCUGAUCCAGCCAUACCGCGUGGGUGAAGAAGGCCUUGGUUGUAAAGCCUUUGUUGGGAAAGAAAUCCAGCUGGCUAAUACCCGGUUGGGAUGACGGUACCCAAAGAAUAAGCACCGGCUAACUUCGUGCCAC